AUGGCCUGGACCCCUCUCUUGUUAGCCUUCCUCACUCUCUGCACAGGUCCUGUUGUCUCUUCUGCAGUGACUCAGCCAUCUGCGGUGUCCGUGGCCUUGGGACAAACGGCCACCAUCACCUGCCAGGGAAGCGACUUAGAAAGUUAUUAUGCUAGCUGGUACCAGCAGAAGCCAGGCCAGGCUCCUGUGCUGGUCAUCGAUGCUGAUAAUGACCGGCCUUCAGGGAUCCCUGAAAGAUUCUCUGGCUCCAGCUCAGGAGACACAGCCACCCUGACCAUCAGCAGGGCCAAGGCUGAGGACGAGGCUGACUAUUACUGUCUGGCAGCAGAUGCUUCUGCUUCUAAAGCUCACAGUGAUACAGCCUUAUGGGGAAGUGAGACACAAACCUCUUCCCCAUCUGUGUCACAGUCACUUCCAGGCCCAGGAGGACGGUAG